rnacentral:rRNA from 1 species
GUAGGGAAUAUUCCGCAAUGGGCGAAAGCCUGACGGAGCAACGCCGCGUGAGUGAAGAAGGUCUUCGGAUCGUAAAGCUCUGUCAACAGGGACGAAACAAGACGGUACCUGAGAAGGAAGCCACGGCAAACUACGUGCCAGCAGCCGCGGUAAUACGUAGGUGGCAAGCGUUGUCCGGAAUAACUGGGCGUAAAGCGCAUGUAGACGGCAUGAUAAGCCAAAUGUGAAAUGUAGGGGCUCAACCCCUACACUGCGAUUGGAACUGUCAAGGUUGAGUGCAGGAGAGGCAAAUGGAAUUCCCAGUGUAGCAGUGAAAUGCGUAGAGAUUGGGAGGAACACCAGUGGCGAAGGCGAUUUGCUGGACUGCAACUGACGUUGAGAUGCGAAAGCCAGGGGAGCAAACGGGAUUAGAUACCCUGGUAGUCC